rnacentral:rRNA from 1 species
GGGAUUGCCCUAGUAACGGCGAGUGAAGCGGCAACAGCUCAAAUUUGAAAUCUGGCUCUCGGGCCCGAGUUGUAAUUUGUAGAGGAUGCUUUUGAUGCGGUGCCUUCCGAGUUCCCUGGAACGGGACGCCAUAGAGGGUGAGAGCCCCGUCUGGUUGGAUGCCAAAUCUCUGUAAAGCUCCUUCGACGAGUCGAGUAGUUUGGGAAUGCUGCUCUAAAUGGGAGGUAUAUGUCUUCUAAAGCUAAAUACCGGCCAGAGACCGAUAGCGCACAAGUAGAGUGAUCGAAAGAUGAAAAGCACUUUGAAAAGAGAGUUAAAAAGUACGUGAAAUUGUUGAAAGGGAAGCGUUUAUGACCAGACUUGGGCUUGGUUAAUCAUCUGGGGUUCUCCCCAGUGCACUUUUCCAGUCCAGGCCAGCAUCAGUUUUCGCCGGGGGAUAAAGGCUUCGGGAAUGUGGCUCUCUCCGGGGAGUGUUAUAGCCCGUUGCGUAAUACCCUGGCGGGGACUGAGGUUCGCGCAUCUGCAAGGAUGCUGGCGUAAUGGUCAUCAACGACCCGUCUUGAAACACGGACCAAGGAGUCGUCUUCGUAUGCGAGUGUUCGGGUGUCAAACCCCUACGCGUAAUGAAAGUGAACGCAGGUGAGAGCUUCGGCGCAUCAUCGACCGAUCCUGAUGUUCUCGGAUGGAUUUGAGUAAGAGCAUACGGGGCCGGACCCGAAAGAAGGUGAACUAUGCCUGUGUAGGGUGAAGCCAGAGGAAACUCUGGUGGAGGCUCGCAGCGGUUCUGACGUGCAAAUCGAUCGUCAAACAUGGGCAUGGGGGCGAAAGACUAAUCGAACCUUCUAGUAGCUGGUUUCCGCCGAAGUUUCCCUCAGGAUAGCAGUGUUGAACUCAGUUUUAUGAGGUAAAGCGAAUGAUUAGGGACUCGGGGGCGCUAUUUAGCCUUCAUCCAUUCUCAAACUUUAAAUAUGUAAGAAGCUCUUGUUGCUUAAUUGAACGUGAGCAUUCGAAUGUAUCAACAC